GUGGCGGCACUGUUAAAUGUCGUGGCACUGUUACAACAGAGAGUCAUCAUCAGAUGUAGAGAGCAUUACACAAGUGGAGUGAUGGAAAUCCAGGCUGGAUUGAGAGCUAUUUAUUAAGUUUGUUACAAUCGGGAGGUUUGAUAAUUCGAAAUCUCCCAGAGGAAGAAUGUGCUGAAAUGGGACUAAUUUGGGCUCCACAGAAUAUGAUAUCACAUUUUGGAGACAGAAAAUCCAGUAAGGAGAUGUCUAAUGAACCAUAUAAAAUGGGAUGGAAAGAACAAACACUUCGUUACCAGCCAAAAUAUGCACUCAUUAUUAAAGAGAAAACUACAUCUGUCAAGGAAAAAUACAUAAAACUUAUUUCUGUGUGUGUGUUAACGCCA